rnacentral:rRNA from 1 species
UACGUAGGGUCCGAGCGUUAAUCGGAAUUACUGGGCGUAGAGCGUGCGCAGGCGGUCUUGUAAGCCAGAUGUGAAAGCCCCGGGCUCAACCUGGGAACUGCAUUUGGGACUGCAAGGCUGGAGUACGGCAGAGGGAGGUGGAAUUCCACGUGUAGCAGUGAAAUUCGUAGAUAUCGGGAGGAACACCUGUGGCGAAGGCGGCCGACUGGACGAUAACUGACGCUGAGACGCGAAAGCGUGGGUAGCAAACAGG